rnacentral:rRNA from 1 species
GUUGUAAUCUCUAGAAAUGUUUUCCGCGUUGGACCGCACCCAAGUCUGUUGGAAUACAACGGCAUAGUGGUGAGACCCCCGUAUAUGGUGCGGACGCCCAGCCCUUUGUGAUACAUUUUCGAAGAGUCGAGUUGUUUGGGAAUGCAGCUCAAAUUGGGUGGUAAAUUCCAUCUAAAGCUAAAUAUUGGCGAGAGGCCGAUAGCGAACAAGUACCGUGAGGGAAAGAUGAAAAGCACUUUGGAAAGAGAGUUAACAGUACGUGAAAUUGUUGGAAGGGAAACGCUUGAAGUCAGACUUGCUUGCCGAGCAAUCGGUUUGCAGGCCAGCAUCAGUUUUCCGGGAUGGAUAAUGGUAGAGAGAAGGUAGCAGUUUCGGCUGUGUUAUAGC